rnacentral:rRNA from 1 species
GAUGAACGCUAGCGACAGGCCUAACACAUGCAAGGUCGAGGGGCAGCACAAGGAGCAAUCUGAGGUGGCGACCGGCGCACGGGUGAGUAACACGUAUGCAACCUACCUGUAAGAGGGGAAUAACCCGUUGAAAAACGGACUAAUACCGCAUAACACUGUAGAACCGCAUGGUUUGACAGUUAAACAUUUAUGGCUUACAGAUGGGCAUGCGCAUGAUUAGCUAGUUGGUGAGGUAACGGCUCACCAAGGCAACGAUCAUUAGGGGUUCUGAGAGGAAGGUCCCCCACACUGGUACUGAGACACGGACCAGACUCCUACGGGAGGCAGCAGUGAAGGAAUAUUGGUCAAUGGGCGAGAGCCUGAACCAGCCAAGUCGCGUGAAGGAUGAAGGUUUUAUGAAUUGUAAACUUCUUUUGCAGGGGAAUAAAGUGUCCGACGUGUCGGAUUUUGUAUGUACUCUGCGAAUAAGGAUCGGCUAACUCCGUG